UACGUAGGUGGCAAGCGUUAUCCGGAAUUAUUGGGCGUAAAGGGUGCGUAGGCGGUCUAAUAAGUCUGAAGUAAAAGCCAGUGGCUCAACCACUGUCCGCUUUGGAAACUGUUAGACUAGAGUGCAGAAGAGGCAAGUGGAAUUCCAUGUGUAGCGGUAAAAUGCGUAGAUAUAUGGAGGAACACCAGUGGCGAAGGCGGCUUGCUGGUCUGUAACUGACGCUGAGGCACGAAAGCGUGGGGAGCAAAUAGG
rnacentral:rRNA from 1 species